CUUCUGCUAUGCCUGCAGUGAGAGGACCAGAGGAAAAGGUCUAAAGCUGAGACAGGGGAGAUUCAGAUUAGAUAUUAGAAAAAAUUGCUCACCUUUAGGGAGGUCAGGCAUUGGAAUAAGUUGCCCAGGCAGGUGAUAGGGUAGUGUUUAAGGGACAUCUGGAUCUGGCACUGGGUGAGAUGGUUAGUGGUUUAAGGGUUAAAGUAGUGAUACUGGGUUGACAGUUGGACAGUUGGACUGAAUCAUCUUAAAGCUGUCUUCUAAUCUUGAAAGUUCUAUGACUUUCAGCACUGCCAUUCACAAGACUCUCACCGUUCCCCUGAGCUGUUGUUCUAGAGCAAUGUAUGGCAAAUUCAGAGAAAUACCAUUUCUCCAAUUAGAAACAGAAAAACCAGCAGGAGUAACCAUCAUGUCUUGACAACUUUGCAAAGCUGAGGUGGAGACUCUGCACCAGGGGAAGCUGCUGCGAGCCAAUACCGCUUGAAAAUCAGCCAUGAAAUACAAUGUAACUGCUGGUGUAAUGCACAGACCUGAAGCUCUCCAUUCCUUCCUUCUGAUCAACUUCAUCAAAAUUACUGGUAAGGCUUUAACAAAAAAUGAAUUAAUCAACUUCUACAUCAAAUUGUUUUAAAUUAACUGCUGUGAACCACACUCCACUUUCAGAGAGGCCCCACAUCUACAAUGCAGAAUGUUACAAAACGUCCUACAUGUACUUAAAAUAUAAUUUUUGUUGCAGAAAGUGAUUGCUGAGAAUUAUGUUUUGUCCUGGAGUCUUCUGUUUGGAGCCUCUUUCACCCUGACCUCUGAUCCAGCGCAGAUCUCUGUUCUGUUCCUCUCCCUAUCCCAAGCAUCUUCCUUGAUUUUAUCUCUUGGUUUAGAGGUCUUGAUUCUGCAGACUGUGUGGGGUAUUCUGCCUUUUUCAGAUGAACUUGAUUUUAUGUCUACUCCUGUUAGGACAUUUGCCUCUGGCAUUCCUAGAAAUAACUCAUAUUCUUGCAGUUCCUAACAGUGUUCUCCUCUUCUUGAAUUGACAGGGCAUUUGUAGACCUCUUUACAUGGAACUAAGUUGUUUUGUUCUGUACAGCAUGCUAGGGAACUAUCAGGAGGAUGUUUGCAGAGUCAUCAUAUCCUUCUAACAUAGAUUUGAGGAAUAUUAUAAGAGGGGAAUAUGUAGUAAUAUGUCCUUAUUCUACAAGCCAGCACAGAGGAUUGUUAACAAACUGAAAUCUAUUUCUGGAAGAAUUUAAGUUAAGUAUUAUCAUCUAACUUCACAAACAAAUAUUUCACAUAUUUAAUGUACCCUUCCAGUAUCUAAAGGGACAUAUCUAAGGAAGCCAGAGAGGGAUUCUUCGCAAGGAACUGUAGUGACAGGACAAGGGGUUAUGGGUUCAAACUGAAAGAGGGGAAAUUUAGGUUAGAUAUAUGGAAGAAAUUCUGCGUGGGUGGUGAGGCACUGUCACAGACUGUCCAGAGAAGCUGUGGCUGCCUCGUCCCUGGCACUGUUCAAGGCCAGGUGGGACAGGGCUUUGAGCAAGCUGGUCUAGUGGAAGGUGUCCCUGCCCACGGCAGGGGGUGGGUAUUGGGCAGUCUGGAAGGUCACUUCCAACCCAGGCCAAUCUGUGAUUCUAAUACUACGUACCAGCUGUGUAACACUACAAAUAGCAUGCUAUAGAGAAUACACUAGUCCAAUACUCCGGGGGAAAAAACACCCAAAGCACCUAAUUCUAAUAUUUUCCGUUUACCUCCUUACUUUUUUCCCCACGCUUCCCAAGAAGCAGGUCCCAGUUAGGGACAGUCAGGCACUGCUGCACGGCUUGCUGUCCGUAGCAGCAGGACA